CUACGGGACGCACCAGUGAGGAAUAUUGCACAAUGGGGGGAACCCUGAUGCAGCAACGCCGCGUGGAGGAUGACGCAUUUCGGUGUGUAAACUCCUUUUAUAUGUCAAGAAAAUGACGGUAGCAUAUGAAUAAGCACCGGCUAACUCCGUGCCAGCAGCCGCGGUAAUAGGGAGGGUGCAAGCGUUACUCGGAAUCACUGGGCGUAAAGGACGCGUAGGCGGGUUGGAAAGUCAGGUGUGAAAUCCUACAGCUUAACUGUAGAACUGCACUUGAAACUUCUAAUCUAGAGUAUGGGAUGGGGAGAUGGUAUUAGUGGUGUAGGGGUAAAAUCCGUAGAUAUCACUAGGAAUACCUAAAGCGAAGGCGAUCUCCUGGAACAUUACUGACGCUAAGGCGUGAAAGCGUGGGGAGCAAACAGGAUUAGAUACCCCCGUAGUC
rnacentral:rRNA from 1 species